rnacentral:rRNA from 1 species
CCUACGGGAGGCAGCAGUGGGGAAUAUUGGACAAUGGGCGAAAGCCUGAUCCAGCCAUGCCGCGUGUGUGAAGAAGGUCUUCGGAUUGUAAAGCACUUUAAGUUGGGAGGAAGGGCAGUUACCUAAUACGUGAUUGUUUUGACGUUACCGACAGAAUAAGCACCGGCUAACUCUGUGCCAGCAGCCGCGGUAAUACAGAGGGUGCAAGCGUUAAUCGGAAUUACUGGGCGUAAAGCGCGCGUAGGUGGUUAGUUAAGUUGGAUGUGAAAUCCCCGGGCUCAACCGGGGAACUGCAUUCAAAACUGACUGACUAGAGUAUGGUAGAGGGUGGUGGAAUUUCCUGUGUAGCGGUAAAAUGCGUAGAUAUGGGAAGGAACACCAGUGGCGAAGGCGACCACCGGGACUUAUACUGACACUGAGGUGCGAAAGCGUGGGGAGCAAACAGGAUUAGAUCCCCUGGUAGU